rnacentral:rRNA from 1 species
CUACCAUGCAGUCGACGGUGAAGCCAAGCUUGCUUGGUGGAUCAGUGGCGAACGGGUGAGUAACACGUGAGCAACCUGCCCUGGACUCUGGGAUAAGCGCUGGAAACGGCGUCUAAUACUGGAUAUGAGCUCUCAUCGCAUGGUGGGGGUUGGAAAGAUUUUUUGGUCUGGGAUGGGCUCGCGGCCUAUCAGCUUGUUGGUGAGGUAAUGGCUCACCAAGGCGUCGACGGGUAGCCGGCCUGAGAGGGUGACCGGCCACACUGGGACUGAGACACGGCCCAGACUCCUACGGGAGGCAGCAGUGGGGAAUAUUGCACAAUGGGCGGAAGCCUGAUGCAGCAACGCCGCGUGAGGGAUGACGGCCUUCGGGUUGUAAACCUCUUUUAGCAGGGAAGAAGCGAGAGUGACGGUACCUGCAGAAAAAGCGCCGGCUAACUACGUGCCAGCAGCCGCGGUAAUACGUAGGGCGCAAGCGUUAUCCGGAAUUAUUGGGCGUAAAGAGCUCGUAGGCGGUUUGUCGCGUCUGCUGUGAAAUCCCGAGGCUCAACCUCGGGCCUGCAGUGGGUACGGGCAGACUAGAGUGCGGUAGGGGAGAUUGGAAUUCCUGGUGUAGCGGUGGAAUGCGCAGAUAUCAGGAGGAACACCGAUGGCGAAGGCAGAUCUCUGGGCCGUAACUGACGCUGAGGAGCGAAAGGGUGGGGAGCAAACAGGCUUAGAUACCCUGGUAGUCCACCCCGUAAACGUUGGGAACUAGUUGUGGGGACCAUUCCACGGUUUCCGUGACGCAGCUAACGCAUUAAGUUCCCCGCCUGGGGAGUACGGCCGCAAGGCUAAAACUCAAAGGAAUUGACGGGGACCCGCACAAGCGGCGGAGCAUGCGGAUUAAUUCGAUGCAACGCGAAGAACCUUACCAAGGCUUGACAUACACCAGAACACCGUAGAAAUACGGGACUCUUUGGACACUGGUGAACAGGUGGUGCAUGGUUGUCGUCAGCUCGUGUCGUGAGAUGUUGGGUUAAGUCCCGCAACGAGCGCAACCCUCGUUCUAUGUUGCCAGCACGUAAUGGUGGGAACUCAUGGGAUACUGCCGGGGUCAACUCGGAGGAAGGUGGGGAUGACGUCAAAUCAUCAUGCCCCUUAUGUCUUGGGCUUCACGCAUGCUACAAUGGCCGGUACAAAGGGCUGCAAUACCGUGAGGUGGAGCGAAUCCCAAAAAGCCGGUCCCAGUUCGGAUUGAGGUCUGCAACUCGACCUCAUGAAGUCGGAGUCGCUAGUAAUCGCAGAUCAGCAACGCUGCGGUGAAUACGUUCCCGGGUCUUGUACACACCGCCCGUCAAGUCAUGAAAGUCGGUAACACCUGAAGCCGGUGGCCUAACCCUUGUGGAGGAGCCGUCGAAGUGAUC